UACAUGGGGUGCAAACGUUGCUCGGAAUCAUUGGGCGUAAAGAGCGCGUAGGCGGCCCGAUAAGUCCGCUGUGAAAGUCAAGGGCUCAACCCUUGAAUGCCGGUGGAUACUGUCGGGCUAGAGUCCGGAAGAGGCGAGUGGAAUUCCUGGUGUAGCGGUGAAAUGCGCAGAUAUCAGGAGGAACACCAAUUGCGAAGGCAGCUCGCUGGGACGUUACUGACGCUGAGACGCGAAAGCGUGGGGAGCAAACAGG
rnacentral:rRNA from 1 species